UACGGAGGGUGCGAGCGUUAAUCGGAAUUACUGGGCGUAAAGAGUGCGUAGGUGGUUAAUUAAGUUAUCUGUGAAAUUCCUGGGCUUAACCUGGGCAGGUCAGAUAAUACUGAUUGACUCGAGUAUGGGAGAGGGUAGUGGAAUUUCCGGUGUAGCGGUGAAAUGCGUAGAGAUCGGAAGGAACACCAGUGGCGAAGGCGGCUACCUGGCCUGAUACUGACACUGAGGCACGAAAGCGUGGGGAGCAAACAGG
rnacentral:rRNA from 1 species